GAUGAACGCUGGCGGCGUGCCUAAAACAUGCAAGUCGAGCGGUAAGGCUCUGCACUUAGUGUUUGAUCGAAGUAAUUUAUUACUACAGUAGACCAAUUGGAACCUUGGCGGGUGAAGAGCGGAAUAGGAAGAUCGAAUUAUAAGUGUAGAGUACACGAGCGGCGGACGGGUGAGUAACACGUGGGAAUCUACCCCAAACUGCGGGAUAAGCACCGGAAACGGUGUCUAAUACCGCAUAUGGUCUUCGGAUUAAAGCUUCGGCGGUUUGGGAAGAGCCCGCGUAAGAUUAGCUAGUUGGUGAGGUAAAGGCUCACCAAGGCGACGAUCUUUAGCUGGUUUGAGAGGAUGAUCAGCCACACUGGAACUGAGACACGGUCCAGACUCCUACGGGAGGCAGCAGUUAGGAAUUUUCCACAAUGGGCGCAAGCCUGAUGGAGCAACGCCGCGUGCAGGAUGAAGGUUUUCGGAUUGUAAACUGCUUUAUGUGUGAAGAAUAUGACGGUAACACAUAG
rnacentral:rRNA from 1 species